GGGAGGGGCGUGCGGCCGAUUAGCUAGUUGGUGUGGUAACGGCUCACCAAGGCAACCAUCGGUAGCUGGUCUGAGAGGACGGCCAGCCACACGGGGACUGAGACACGGCCCCGACUCCUACGGGAGGCAGCAGCAAGGAAUUUUGCGCAAUGGGCGAAAGCCUGACGCAGCAACGCCGCGUGGGGGAAGAAGGCUCUCGGGUUGUAAACCCCUUUCAGCAGGGACGAAGGUGUGGCGGUGAAUAGCCGACCACAUUGACGGUACCUGCAGAAGAAGCCCCGGCUAACUACGUGCCAGCAGCCGCGGUAAUACGUAGGGGGCUAGCGUUGUCCGGAAUUAUUGGGCGUAAAGAGCACGUAGGCGGCCCGGUUAGUCCGCUGUAAAAGUCAAAGGCUCAACCUUUGAAAGCCGGUGGAUACUGUCGGGCUAGAGUCCGGAAGAGGCGAGUGGAA
rnacentral:rRNA from 1 species